rnacentral:rRNA from 1 species
AUGUCACCCAGGAUCAGAAUUGUUGCUCCUAGUUCCGGUGUACUGAAGAUGGAGACUUCAGACAAAAAUGGGUAUCAGUUGAUGGAAGUUGCCUACCACAUGGACUUUGAUGGUUGCAUCAACCUAACUACUGGGUGGAAGGAGUUUGUGGCAGAGGCUGGAUUUGAGGAUGGUGAUGUGGUUAUGGCUGGACUCGCUAGGGUUCCUUUGCUCUUGAACGAGCGGUUGGCGACAGUGAUACUCGAUGUUGGGAGUGCCGUUAAUGAUAGCCAUGGUGCUCCUGAGGACAUUGCUGAUGUUGUCAAAGAUAUUAAUGAUGGAAUGUAUUCUCUUAACGUUGAUGAUGUUGAUGGCAGCUUGCAGUUGUCUGUUACGCAGUCACAGAAUGUUGAUGGCACUGAGCAUGUUACUCAGGUUGAGGAUGUUCCUAUGCACAAAUCUGAUGGGGAUAGUGUUGCUGUGAAGAUUGGUCCAAGCAAACUUGGUGGCUCCCCUGUUCGUCGGAGUCCAUGGGUUUUGACAAAUAAGAAGCCUUCUUCGUCUCCUCUUCUAGAGCGCUCUUUGUUGAAACAAAAUAAUAAGCGUAAAGUUCAUCCUGCGAAGGUGAACAAAAGUGUGAAGAAGCGUGCUCGUGUCGAAGCUAAAGAUGUUGUAUCUGAAGAACAUGAUAUCAAAGUUGAUUCUGAAGAUGAAUUUGCAGUGCCUGUUAGCGUUAUGAGUCCGGUCAAGCCGGUGGGAGGCAAUGCCGGAAAAGUUGCCUUGGAUGAAGAUCCUGAUACGAUGACUCUUGACAUGGGUGAGGCUAAUAAGAAGCUUCGCAUCACUAGCGAUGGUAUACAACAAUUAUUUGGGUUCCCUCGUGGUGGUCGUUCUGUGCCAAGACCGUCAGAGGACGGAUAUGACGACGCUCUGAUGAAGUUAAGAUCGGAGCUUGACAUUAGCAGGAACAAAGAUAUCAAGACAAAGGAUUUGAGGAAUAAGCUCAAGGUGCUCGUCAAGGAUCCUAUCAAAGAUGACCUUGCUCUGAAAGUGUUCUUCAUUAUUGUGUUUAUGAAGGUUGUGUUGCCUGGUGCCGCCCCGCGUGUUUCCGGAGAGGCAGCUAUGUUGGAGGGUCUCGUCUUUGAGGAACUGGCUAAUAUGGAUUAUUGCCAGCUGAUGGUUGAUGAGCUUAGAAGGGCUCUUGCCAAGUACCAAGAUGGUGCUACCCUUGGGAAGGCAAUCACAGGCUGUGGUAUAGGUCCUGUACUAAUGUACCUUGACUGGCUUAUCCGUGGCAAGACUGCGGAGCCUGACAUGCGAGUCCCCCGCAUAUGUUUCAUGGAUCCUGUCAAGCUUUUUGAUCUGGUUGAUGCAGAUUUGAUAAAAAAAGGCAAUGCAGAUCCAAAGACUUGGGUGUUUGGGAAGCUUCCGUGGAAAACUCAAGAGGAGGUUGUUUUUUUCUGA